AAAAAGGAUAUAAAAUACUUGGGUCUGCAUCAUCGUCUGAUUAUAAAAUUUAGUCUAGAUAGUGACUUUGUCCGUACUCCCAAGUCCUAACUCCAACGAGACCAGUCGAACUUUCAAAUUUCCCUCGCAGCUUCUUUCAUUAAAUCAAACCUCGGCUUCAACUUUCAAUUCCUACUGCAUUAAUCUCAAUCGAUGGCGGCAGAACCAACUGUAGCCAUGCAACCUUACAAACUCAAUCAAACCCUAACAGGCCACAAGCGAGCCAUCACCAGCGUUAAAUUCUCCAACGACGGCAAGCUCUUGGGCAGCUCAUCAGCCGACAAGACCGUACGCCUUUGCUCGCCGACCGAUGGGUCUCUCCUUAAGGAAUUCGAAGGCCACGAACAGGGUAUCUCUGAUUUUGCAUUCUCUUCCGAUUCCCGUUACAUCUGCUCGGGCUCGGAUGACAAGACGGUACGGAUAUGGGAUGUCCAGACCGGUUCGAUCGUGAAGACACUUCAUGGCCACACCAAUUAUGUCUUCUGUGUUAACUAUAAUCCUCAAUCGAAUAUGAUCGUGUCGGGUUCGUUUGAUGAGACGGUUAGGGUUUGGGAUGUGAAGACCGGGAAAUGCUUGAGGGUGCUCCCAGCCCACUCGGAUCCUGUGACAGCGGUGAACUUUAACCAAGAUGGGUCGUUAAUCGUUUCAAGCAGCUAUGAUGGCUUAUGCAGGAUUUGGGAUGCGUCAACGGGCCAUUGCAUGAAGACUCUCAUUGAUGAUGAAAAUCCGCCGGUUUCUUUUGUCAAGUUUUCGCCUAAUGGAAAGUUUAUUCUCGCCGGCACAUUGGACAACACAUUGAGACUAUGGAACUUCUCUACUGGGAAAUUUCUGAAGACAUACUCUGGCCAUGUUAACUCAAAAUACUGCAUUUCAUCCACAUUUUCUGUAACCAAUGGAAAGUAUAUAGUCAGUGGUUCGGAGGAUAACCUGGUCUACUUGUGGGAACUUCAGACAAGAAAAAUUGUCCAGACACUGGAAGGUCACACGGACACUGUUAUGUCUGUUACAUGUCACCCUUCUGAGAACAUGAUAGCAUCUGGAGGAUUUGAAAAGGACAAGACUGUGAAGAUCUGGACUCAGGGGAAAGACUGAUUCAUUUUUCUGGUUAUUUGUGGCUUGUCUCAAUUGUAUGGCACACCAUUUAUGAAUUUUCACAGGAUUUUUCAAUGGCUCCCAUAGAGUUCAGUCUCUAGACUUUUCCAACUUAAAGACCUCUAAAGUGCUUUAGAGAGGGUCUAGAUUUUCGAGUGAUGGAAUUUGGUAUCUAUGUUUUUCUUGUGGAGUUGAGAUCAUCUGACAAAUACAUUGAAGCACCAUCACCAUUACAAUCAUUGUAUAGAAGGCUUGAAAUGAAUUGGGACUUGAGACAUAUUGGUCGGGUUUUGCCAUCAGCUAGUUCUUGUUUUGCUAACGAGGAACCCCUCAAACUUUUCCGAUUUUACGGUUCUAGCCCAAGGGAAGACCUCAAUUACACGCAACCACACCUAACCCAUGUAACAGAUCAGUUGCAGAGAGCCUCGAACUGGAGGUGUCAUCAGCUAGUCAUUCGUUAUAUUCAUAACAUGGAUAAUUAGGGAAACAAGCUAGGUGAGAGAAGAAAGCUAUAACUUUCUCAUCCAAAUGCAUUCAACUGGAUCUAUAUGGCUUGGACCUCUCAAUUUGGUGAAUUCUUAUUCUAAAGGAGAUUUUGUGUGGCCACUUGAUAAGUUCCCACCUGCCCCAAAGAAGAUUGAUCGUGCCUCUUUUUCAAAGCAUCAAAUUUUCAGGAUCUAUGUUUAAACCAUUUGUGGGGGGGGGGUGUUUUGGUACUGGUUCCUGAUGGUAGUAGAGCAUUGUCUACAUUUUCUUUGUUGUAUUUGAGAGGACAAAAAUAAAAUAAAAUAAAAUGAGUGUUUAGGGGCCUUUAAUAUGUAAAAAGAAUAGAAGGAGGAGAAUUUUUGGUAUACAUUACUCUAAUUACCUUUCUAGAA